UGGGGAAUUUUGGACAAUGGGCGCAAGCCUGAUCCAGCAAUGCCGCGUGCAGGAUGAAGGCUUUCGGGUUGUAAACUGCUUUUGUACGGAGCGAAAAGGUCUGCCCUAAUACGGUGGGCUCAUGACGGUACCGUAAGAAUAAGCACCGGCUAACUACGUGCCAGCGGCCGCGGUAAUACGUAGGGUGCGAGCGUUAAUCGGAAUUACUGGGCGUAAAGCGUGCGCAGGCGGUUAUAUAAGACAGAUGUGAAAUCCCCGGGCUCAACCUGGGACCUGCAUUUGUUACUGUGUAGCUAGAGUACGGUAGAGAGGGAUGGAAUACCGCGUGUAGCAGUGAAAUGCGUAGAUAUGCGGAGGAACACCAAUGGCAAAGGCAAUCCCCUGGACCUGUACUGACGCUCAUGCACGAAAGCGUGGGGAGCAAACA
rnacentral:rRNA from 1 species